CCCGACUGCUAUUUGGGUGAGGAUAAGCCAUGCAAGUUGAAUGGAAUGCCAAAAUAUUCCAUGGCAAACUGCUCAAUAGCACGUGAUCAACUUACCCUAUGGAAAACAAUAACCUCUGGAAACGGAGGAUAAUGGUUUAUAGUUGAAAAGGCUUGGAAAAGUUUUUCAAUAAAAGGGAAUAAUAAAAAUGGUUAUUAUUUUGCCAUAGGAUAGGAUUGCGGUCGAUUAUGGCUGUUGGUGAGGUAAAGGCUCACCAAGCCGAUAAUCGAUAGGGGCCGCGAGAGCGGGAGCCCCGAGAUGGGUACUGAGACAACGACCCAGGCCUUACGAGGCGCAGCAGGCGCGAAACCUCCGCUAUACACGAAAGUGUGACGGGGUUACCCAAAGUGUUCAUUAGAACUGUGGUAGGUGAGUAAUGUUCCCUACUAGAAAGGAGAGGGCAAGGCUGGUGCCAGCCGCCGCGGUAAAACCAGCUCUUCAAGUGGUCGGGAUAAUAUUGGGCUUAAAGUGUCCGUAGCCGGUUUAGUAAGUUCCUGGUAAAAUCAGGUAGCUUAACUAUCUGUAUGCUAGGAAUACUGCUAUACUAGAGGGCGGGAGAGGUCUGAGGUACUACAGGGGUAGGGGUGAAAUCUUAUAAUCCUUGUUGGACCACCAGUGGCGAAGGCGUCAGACUGGAACGCGCCUGACGGUGAGGGACGAAAGCCAGGGGAGCGAACCGGAUUAGAUACCCGGGUAGUCCUGGCCGUAAACGAUGCAUACUAGGUGAUGGCACGGCCAUGAGUCGUGUCAGUGCCGUAGGGAAACCGUUAAGUAUGCCGCCUGGGAAGUACGGUCGCAAGGCUAAAACUUAAAGGAAUUGGCGGGGGAGCACCACAAGGGGUGAAGCCUGCGGUUCA
rnacentral:rRNA from 1 species